CGUACUUGUACUGAUUGAGAUUUUAACACGAAGUGAGUGGCGAACGGGUGAGUAACACGUGGGUAACCUGCCCAGAAGUAGGGGAUAACACCUGGAAACAGAUGCUAAUACCGUAUAACAGAGAAAACCGCAUGGUUUUCUUUUAAAAGAUGGCUCUGCUAUCACUUCUGGAUGGACCCGCGGCGUAUUAGCUAGUUGGUGAGGUAAAGGCUCACCAAGGCAGUGAUACGUAGCCGACCUGAGAGGGUAAUCGGCCACAUUGGGACUGAGACACGGCCCAGACUCCUACGGGAGGCAGCAGUAGGGAAUCUUCCACAAUGGACGCAAGUCUGAUGGAGCAACGCCGCGUGAGUGAAGAAGGGUUUCGGCUCGUAAAGCUCUGUUGUUAAAGAAGAACGUGGGUAAGAGUAACUGUUUACCCAGUGACGGUAUUUAACCAGAAAGCCACGGCUAACUACGUGCCAGCAGCCGCGGUAAUACGUAGGUGGCAAGCGUUAUCCGGAUUUAUUGGGCGUAAAGCGAGCGCAGGCGGUCUUUUAAGUCUAAUGUGAAAGCCUUC
rnacentral:rRNA from 1 species